rnacentral:lncRNA from 1 species
UAGAUACUCUACCUGACCAUCUGCCUGAAACUCAUCCACUUGCAAUCCUUGCCUAUCAUUACUCUUACGCGCAGUCUUAAGUGAAUCAUCUUUAUCCCUAGCUGAAAAGGGUUAGAAGGAAUAGCAAGAAUGAGCAAUGAUGCUCAACAAGAAUAUGAUAAGUGAAAGCCACAAGAUAUACAUAUUUAAGUGAAUUAGAAUGUUUGAAGUAAAGGUAAGCUCUGGAUUAAACAUGAUGUUGUAAAUCAACAGUUCAGUAUAAAAGAGUGAAAGUAUACCAUGAUAAACAGUUUUGCAUCAAUAUAUGAAUUUAAAGCUGUAGAGAUAAAAAUGAAAUCAAUCAUCUUUUUAACAUAAGAUAAUCUCUUUUUCAAACUAUUCAUUGUUUAAUUGGGUUUUUGAAUAAGACACCAUGCUAAAACGGUCAUAUCUCCUAGCUCGCUAAUCGAAUCGAUUCGAUUCUUUCGCGCACAUAAACUACUCUCUGAGGAGCACAUAACCACACAAACAUUAAGCAUAUAAUUCGACUCUAUGAGCCCAAAAUUGUACUGCAAAACAGAUCAGCAACAACCUAGAAUUCAACCGAUUAUGUGUAAAUCUAAAUUUUUAGCCCAAUACUUAAACUCUUAAAACACUAUUCUGAAAACAUUUACACAAAUUCUCAAACCUGAAAACUUGAAUACUCAAUUAUAUAUUCCCAUAAUUCAAGUACCCAAGUCAUCCGAUUAUACUACUAGUUGGCGUACUAAUUAUAACCAACCUUUAACAACCAAUUCAAAUAUCAAUUAAGCACACAAUCAGCCCUUGGCCAGUUACCUAUAACACAUAUACAUAACAUGUAUAUAAGCAAGCAAUUUGCCUUAAUUAUAUAAUUAAUCAAUACUAAUCCCCAUCAAUUCAGUCCUCUAUUAUGCACAUAGCACAACCCAUAUACACAUAUAUACACAAUUUUUAACUUCAGUUUGUCCUUAAUCACCCAAUUAAGUGUGAGCCUCGAUUAGCACAUAACAAUACAGAUGUAAUUCACAUAAUCAGAUUAUACCCACAAAAAUACAUGUAAAUCUAUUAUAAGAAUUUAAAUAGAGCUUUAUACCGAACUGAAUCAAACUCGAGGGAUGGAAUAGGGCUGGUGUCGCUGAAUAGAUACGCCACAACUGAUGCAGGUGUUGGAGACUCAGUUGUAGAGGAACCCGGAAAGAAACCUACUGGUAACUUCCGACUGGUAAGAAGUAGGAAGCAUGGAGAAGAAGAAACUCACGGGGUGACCAUAACAGUUCGGGCCGGAAUCAAAACCGGCGGCAAUGACAUCGUCUGGAGCAUAUCAAUGGCGGGAAAGCUUGACAGAGAAGGAGAAGACACAAGGCGUGGGAGAGACGAAGCAAAGAGAGAGAAUUUCGAGAGGGGGAGUUUAGAGAGACACU